UACGUAGGGUGCAGGCGUUAAUCGGAAUUACUGGGCGUAAAGCGUGCGCAGGCGGCUCCUUAAGUCAGAUGUGAAAUCCCCGGGCUUAACCUGGGAACUGCGUUUGAAACUGGAGAGCUAGAGUGUGGAAGAGGGGGGUGGAAUUCCAGGUGUAGCAGUGAAAUGCGUAGAGAUCUGGAGGAACACCGAUGGCGAAGGCAGCCCCCUGGGCUAACACUGACGCUCAUGCACGAAAGCGUGGGGAGCAAACAGG
rnacentral:rRNA from 1 species